CAAGUUAUUUCUCUCUCU
rnacentral:snRNA from 1 species